GCGCGUUCUUGGGGUGAGGCUGGGUAAUUGUUCCUGCAGGGUGGUGGGUCACAGUGGCCAGUUGACUGCGACUGGGGUUGCGUGGUGGGAAGUCUGAAGAAAAGGUUGUUUCUUACCGGUCGCUGCCUCAGGGAGGUAGUGCGGUAGAAUUUUCCGCCAUGGGUCAUUCUCGGUGUCCGCGGGGAAGGGCGUGACAACGACGGGCGUGACAGCGACGCAACAGUGUCUCGAGAGCGCUGCCGCCCGGAGGGCGCCAGGAGAAGCGCGUCCGAGACGCCGCGCGGUGAUGUUCCCGAAAACGUCUGCCCGGCCUAGCGGGAACCCAGCAUGGUUUUCAGGGGUUGAAAGGAGGAGCAGGAGGUACUGAUGGACAAGGAGGUACCUUCCGGUACACCUUUCAUGGCGAUCCUCAUGCUACAUUUGCUGCAUUUUUUGGAGGGUCCAACCCCUUUGAAAUUUUCUUUGGAAGACGAAUGGGUGGUGGUAGAGAUUCUGAAGAAAUGGAAAUAGAUGGUGAUCCUUUUAGUGCCUUUGGUUUCAGCAUGAAUGGAUAUCCAAGAGACAGGAAUUCUGUGGGGCCAUCCCGCCUCAAACAAGAUCCUCCAGUUAUUCAUGAACUUAGAGUAUCACUUGAAGAGAUAUAUAGUGGUUGUACCAAACGGAUGAAGAUUUCUCGAAAAAGGCUAAACGCUGAUGGAAGGAGUUACAGAUCUGAGGACAAAAUUCUUACCAUUGAGAUUAAAAAAGGGUGGAAAGAAGGCACCAAAAUUACUUUUCCAAGAGAAGGAGAUGAAACACCAAAUAGUAUUCCAGCAGACAUUGUUUUUAUCAUUAAAGACAAAGAUCAUCCAAAAUUUAAAAGGGAUGGAUCAAAUAUAAUUUAUACUGCUAAAAUUAGUUUACGAG
rnacentral:sRNA from 1 species